rnacentral:rRNA from 1 species
UAACAGAGGUCUCAAGCGUUGUUCGGAUUCAUUGGGCGUUAAAGGGUGCGAGUAGGCGGCGCGGUAAGUCGGGUAUGAAGUCUUGGAAGCUUAACUCCGAAACUGCAUUCGAUACUGCCGUGCUUGAGGACUGGAGAGGAGACUGGAAUUACGGUGUAAGCUGGUGAAAUGCGUAGAUAAUUCGCAAGAACACCAGUGGCGAAGGCGGCUCACUGGCCCGAAUACUGACGCUGG